UGGCUCAGUUGGUAGAGCAUGGUGUUUGCAACGCCAGGGUUGUGGGUUCGAUUCCCCC
rfam:Salmo salar isolate Sally breed double haploid chromosome ssa10, whole genome shotgun sequence.